rnacentral:rRNA from 1 species
CCUACGGGAGGCAGCAGUGGGGGAUAUUGCACAAUGGGGGAAACCCUGAUGCAGCGACGCCGCGUGGGCGAAGAAGUAUUUCGGUAUGUAAAGCCCUGUCAGCAGGGAAGAAAAUGACGGUACCUGAAGAAGAAGCCCCGGCUAACUACGUGCCAGCAGCCGCGGUAAUACGUAGGGGGCAAGCGUUAUCCGGAUUUACUGGGUGUAAAGGGGGCGCAGACGGCGAUGCAAGCCAGGAGUGAAAGCCCGGGGCCCAACCCCGGGACUGCUCUUGGAACUGCGUGGCUAGAGUGCAGGAGGGGCAGGCGGAAUUCCUGGUGUAGCGGUGAAAUGCGUAGAUAUAUGGAAGAACACCAGUGGCGAAGGCGGCCGCCUGGCCUGUUACUGACGCUGAGGCACGAAAGCGUGGGGAGCAAAUAGGAUUAGAUACCCGUGUAGUC